GUCGUCGUUAUCUUGUAGGUUCUUCCAUCUAAUUCAAAUUAGCUUUAUUUGGCUUGACAGUGAUUAAGGACAUGCAUGACUGCGCAAGCAAAGCAGGUAGCCUGCAGUAUUUAGGAAUCCAGUGUUUUGUGGUUAUUAAAGCAGGCAGUAUUGUUAGUGAAAUGAGUAGGCUAGCUAAUAUUAGCUGCAAUUCACAGACAGAAUUACCCUGAGUGUACUAUUAUUUUAAUAUGGCCUUUAGUGUUACUACCCGUUUUCUACGAAACUAUGGUAAUGAUACUUUUAAAGCUGGGCACUUUAUUAGGUACACCGGGUUGUAAUGCUUAGAACUGCCUUCAGAACUGCCUCAUUUCUUCAUAGCAAAGAUGCAACAGUGUUCAGGCAGGCUGUGGUGUUUAAAUGAUGCUCAGUUGGUACUAAGUGUGUCAGGAAAAUAUCUCCCACACUGUUACACCACCAGCAGCACACUGAAGCGGUGAUACAAGCCAGGAUGGAUCCAUGCUUUAAUGUUGUUUAUGCCAAAUUCUGACCCAACUAUCUGAUUGUUGCUGCAGAUUUCAAGACUCAUCGAACAGGAGAGGCACCCGGUGUGGUCUUCUGCUGCUGUUGUCCAUCUGUUUCAAGGUUCAAAAUGUUGUGUGUUCAGAGAUGCUCUUCUGCAUACUUUGAUUGUAACCACUGGUUAUUUGAAGCAGCCUGACCUUUCCGUUUUGAUCUCUCUGGUAUCAGUGAGGCAUUUUCAUCAUGAAAUACUCAUACUAACUCAUCCGACACAAUCAAAGCCAUUUAAAUCAUCUGUUAUCCCCACUGUGAUGUUCAGUUUGAACUUCAGCAGCUCGUCUGCCCCAUGUCAACGUGCCUAAAUGCAUUGAGUCGCUGCUGUGGGAUUGGCUGACUAAAUAUUUGCAUUACCAAACAGUUUAACAGGUGUACCUAAUAAGUAGUCAGUGAAUGUAUAUGUAUGUGAUCAGGAAGGGCAAUGUUAAUCUUGUCUGUUAGAUGCGCACUUGUAUAGCAGUGGAGUAUAAACUAAACUGAACAUUAUACUCUGAUGAAUCAGACUUGUUUCAAAAUAACUCCCAGGUAAUCAAGAGUAAUUAUUUGCGCCUUCCCCACAGGCUGUACACAAUACAAAUGAAACUGCCAAAGUACGUAAUUGAAUUACAAGCACGAUCAAAGCCGGCACACAGAAUGGGUGUAAAUGAAAACUGUGUAGGGCGUGCUAACAUUUUUGCAGCCUCUUUGAAAUGUAUUAAUACAAAUUUAAAAACAAAAGGCCCUGCACAUCCACAUGUGUGUUCUCAGUAAUAAUUGAAUCAUUAGUUACCUGGAACUGCCUGGAACUUAAAAAGCCUAGUUAUGUGAUGAUAUAUAGCUAUAGUUAUGUAAAUUGUCCCACCCAAACAGGUGAAAAAUAGCCAGCAGGAGAAGCAGGAAACUGUCAAUUGAGCACAAGUGGGAAUACACCAUGAGAAGAGGUGUAAUCACGAAACGAUAAAGAGUCGUGCUGGAAAUUGUUGAUUUGAAUGUGGCCGGUGAUGCAAGAGCAGUAAAAUGAAUUCUCCAACCACAGAGGACAAUACAGCAGCGCUGUGAGUGACCGAAGUAGCACGAGAGUUUAGUUCACCAAGACAUUAAAAAAUCAGUUAAUUAGGAAAUAUCUCAUUAUGUUUGAUACCAAAGUUAAUGUUGCCAUGCCGUAGAAGGAGGAUCAGCAGUAUCUGUACUUUAAACAACAAGUCACAUGUGGAUGGGCCUUCAGCAGUAGAUGUUGCUUUGUCCAGAUUGUUUUAUUGUUGUUGUUUUUAAUCAGGGCUGCGUUGAGAUCCUGAUAACAAGCAGUUUGGCAGUUUAAUCGGGAGUCCUGCUCUGAUUGUGAAUUUCAUCAGUACUGACACACCUCUACAAAACUAUGUACUGUAGAUAGCUAUCAGUAUAAAGGCUCAGUAGCUGUAGUAUUUCAAUAGCUCAUUAGUUUGUUGCCAGUUUUUCCAGUUACAGUUUAACGUUGCCUUAGUUGGAAUAUGCAGGGUGAGGUGGAAAAAUGCUGUUCUGUGUUUUUAUCUUUUUUGCAAUAAUUUGGCCUUGAGCUUGAACCAAGUGAAAACAAAGCUCCAUAUUAACUUCCUAAGAUGUUCAUCAACACAUAGAUUUCAAUCAGUACAAUCAGAUGUCAGGUACAAGAAUUUUAAACAUUUUUUCUUAUCACAGGGGCGUAGUAUGAAAACAUUAAUGCCGGUCAGGGUGUCAUAUGGAGAUAAUUGGUUACAGUAUCAAACUGUGGUUAGGCAGGCUUCUUGUCCUAGUCCUAGUCUUGUCCUGGUAUGAAAUGCUUGAAAUAUUUCACAUUUUUUCCAGGAAGGCUUAAGUGGGACUUUGUGUAGAGUACAGAAGAAUGAAAAACCCAAACAAGUCCAACGUGUUUCCAUUUGAGGAAACAAUGUGUCAUCUUAGAUAAAUGCAUUUAUUUAAGGACAAUAGUCAUCUUUCCAAAACAUGGCUAUGUUUUUCAAGCUUUUAGGUCUGCUUUGUUUUCACACUUGGCUAGCAAUAGUAAAAGAGCUUCUCUUGUCCCACAUGAAGUCAGAGGUGACACUAGUCAUAAAAGAGUAGGUGCUGCCCUCUUGUGGUGUGUAAGUAAUCUGCAAAAUGGGAGCAGACUUGAGGUGUAAAGAGUACAUACACUGCUCAAAAAAUAACAAAUAAAAAAUGAAAGGAACACUUUUUAAUCAGAGUAUAGCAUCAGGUCAGUUAAACCUCUGAGAUAUUGAUCUGGUCAGUUAAGUAACAAAGGGAUUGUUAAUCAGUUUCAGAUGCUUUGGUAUAAAUGAAAUUUACAACAGGUGCACUAGAGUGGCAACAAUGAGACAAACCACUGACAUUUUUUCCCUGACUGUUUUUUUUAAUCACUAGUUUUGCAUUUGGCUAGUGUCACUACUGGUGGCCAGUGUCACUACUGGUAGCAUAAGUUGAUACCUGAACCCUAUAGAGCUUCCACAGUUAGUCUAAUUCCUCCAGGAUGCCAAAUCAAUACGUCAAUACGUGCCAUUUCCAGAAGGUUUGCUGUGUCCCCCAAGAUAUUCUUAAGCAUGGAGGAGGUUCUAGGAGACAGGCAGUUACUCUAGGAGAGCUGAACAGGGCCAGGAUGAGUCCAGAUAUUGUGUUUUCCGUGUUCUCUCGUGGAUAAAAUAUGGGUUUAUGAGAUUUACAAAUCAAUGCAUUCUGUAUUUAUUUACAUUUUACACAGUGCCACAGCUUUUUAAUGAUUGGGGUUGUAACAACUUUAAAAUUGCGAUAAAGCAGGUGAUAUGACAUGGAAAAUAGACCCACGAGAAACAUGGCACUUCACAAGAGUCUGACAAUUGCUUUGUAUAAUUGUUCAGUCUUGUAAAUUUCUUUCUUUGAAAAAGUUUAGGACAUUUCAAAAAUCAAGUAAAGCUGUCAGCAAAAUGUGAAACAACCAUUAUGACUUUAUGUUCAAAAUGUCUAUAUUUUGUUGAAGAGAUAACAGCUGAAGCAUAACUAGGACUAGGCUGUACUUUUGUGUAAUACCACUUUGUACCACAAGAUGGCU